GGUGAGAUGGCCGAGUGGUCUAAGGCGCUGCGUUUAGGUCUUCCUAAGCAUCUACCGCAGUCAGAAAUGGCGUGGGUUCGAAUCCCACUCUCAUCA
rfam:Stagonospora sp. SRC1lsM3a unplaced genomic scaffold IQ06scaffold_11, whole genome shotgun sequence.